AGUCGAAAUAUAUAUAAAAAAUUAAACAAUUGUCCAGUAGCACCUUAGAGACCAACUAAGUUUGUUCUGGGUAUAAGCUUUCAUGUGCAUGGUGUACGUGGAUGGUGCAUGGUGUACAUGGUAUCUGAAGAACUGUGCAUGCACACAAAAGCUUAUACCAAGAACAAACUUAGUUGUUCUCUAAGGUGCUACUGGACAAUUUUUUAAUUUUUUUAUAUAUUUCGACUUA